UGUGGCUCAGAGUUAGAGCAUCCGCGUCGGAUGCGGGGAGUCAUGGGUUCGAAUCCCGGCUUUUAAAAA